rnacentral:rRNA from 1 species
GACGAACGCUGGCGGCGUGCUUAACACAUGCAAGUCGAGCGGAAAGGCCACUUCGGUGGUACUCGAGCGGCGAACGGGUGAGUAACACGUGAGUAAUCUGCCCCUGGCUUUGGGAUAGCCACCGGAAACGGUGAUUAAUACCGGAUACGACCACUUCUCGCAUGGGAUGGUGGUGGAAAGUUUUUUCGGCCAGGGACGUGCUCGCGGCCUAUCAGCUUGAUGGUGAGGUAAUGGCUCACCAUGGCUUCGACGGGUAGCCGGCCUGAGAGGGUGACCGGUCACACUGGGACUGAGACACGGCCCAGACUCCUACGGGAGGCAGCAGUGGGGAAUAUUGGACAAUGGGCGGAAGCCUGAUCCAGCAACGCCGCGUGGGGGAUGACGGCCUUCGGGUUGUAAACCUCUUUCAGCAGGGACGAAGCGCAAGUGACGGUACCUGCAGAAGAAGCACCGGCCAACUACGUGCCAGCCGCCGCAGUAA